rnacentral:tRNA from 1 species
GUCUCUGUGGCUCAGUCGGUAGAGCGUUGGUCUCAUAUUACUUAAUCAAUAUGACGCUGGCUUCACAAGCCAGGGACAUCCAAAGGUCGCAAGUUCGAGCCUUGCCAGGGACA